GUGCUCACUUCAGCAGCACAUAUACUAAAAUUGGAGUGAUACAGAGAAUAUUAGCAUGGCCCUACUAUAAGGAUGACACAAAAAUUCAUGAGGCAUUCCAUAUUUUU
ensembl:snRNA U6 U6 spliceosomal RNA